rnacentral:rRNA from 1 species
AAAUUGAAGAGUUUGAUCAUGGCUCAGAUUGAACGCUGGCGGCAGGCCUAACACAUGCAAGUCGAACGGUAACAGGAAGCAGCUUGCUGCUUUGCUGACGAGUGGCGGACGGGUGAGUAAUGUCUGGGAAACUGCCUGAUGGAGGGGGAUAACUACUGGAAACGGUAGCUAAUACCGCAUAACGUCGCAAGACCAAAGAGGGGGACCUUCGGGCCUCUUGCCAUCGGAUGUGUCCAGAUGGGAUUAGCUAGUAGGUGGGGUAA